GUCGAACGGAGUUAUCAUUUUUGAAGCGAUUAGCUUGCUAAGAGUGGACCAGUUGAUAACUUAGUGGCGGACGGGUGAGUAACGCGUGGGUAACCUGCCUUACACAGGGGGAUAACACUUAGAAAUAGGUGCUAAUACCGCAUAAGCGCACAGUCCCGCAUGGGACAGAGUGAAAAACAUUAGUGGUGUAAGAUGGACCCGCGUCUGAUUAGCUGGUUGGCGGGGUAACGGCCCACCAAGGCGACGAUCAGUAGCCGGCCUGAGAGGGUGGACGGCCACAUUGGGACUGAGACACGGCCCAAACUCCUACGGGAGGCAGCAGUGGGGGAUAUUGGACAAUGGGGGAAACCCUGAUCCAGCGACGCCGCGUGAGUGAAGAAGUAUUUCGGUAUGUAAAGCUCUAUCAGCAGGGAAGAAAGAAAUGACGGUACCUGAGUAAGAAGCCCCGGCCAACUACGUGCCAGCAGCCGCGGUAAUACGUAGGGGGCAAGCGUUAUCCGGAAUUACUGGGUGUAAAGGGAGCGUAGACGGUAAUGCAAGUCUGGAGUGAAAGGCGGGGGCCCAACCCCCGGACUGCUCUGGAAACUGUGUAACUGGAGUGCAGGAGAGGCAGGCGGAAUUCCUAGUGUAGCGGUGAAAUGCGUAGAUAUUAGGAGGAACACCAGUGGCGAAGGCGGCCUGCUGGACUGUAACUGACGUUGAGGCUCGAAAGCGUGGGGAGCAAACAGGAUUAGAUACCCUGGUAGUCCACGCCGUAAACGAUGAUUACUAGGUGUGGGUGGGUAUGGA
rnacentral:rRNA from 1 species